rnacentral:rRNA from 1 species
GACGAACGCUGGCGGCGUGCUUAACACAUGCAAGUCGAACGGUAAGGCCCUUCGGGGUACACGAGUGGCGAACGGGUGAGUAACACGUGGGUGAUCUGCCCUGCACUUCGGGAUAAGCCUGGGAAACUGGGUCUAAUACCGGAUAGGACCACUGCCUGCAUGGGUUGUGGUGGAAAGCUUUUGCGGUGUGGGAUGGGGCCGCGGCCUAUCGGCUUGUUGGUGGGGUGAUGGCCUAACAAGGCGACGACGGGUAGCCGGCCUGAGAGGGUGACCGGGCACACUGGGACUGAGAUACGGCCCAAACUCCUACGGGAGGAAGCAGUGGGGAAUAUUGCACAAUGGGCGCAAGCCUGAUGCAGCGACGCCGCGUGAGGGAUGACGGCCUUCGGGUUGUAAACCUCUUUCAGCACCGACGAAGCGCAAGUGACGGUAGGUGCAGAAGAAGGACCGGCCAACUACGUGCCAGCCGCCGCGGUAA